CGGAAAGAAUGAAGCAAGAGCUAG
rnacentral:piRNA from 1 species